UGCCAGCCGCCGCGGUAAUACGGAGGGGGUUAGCGUUGUUCGGAAUUACUGGGCGUAAGGCGCACGUAGGUGGCUUGGUAAGUCGGAUGUGAAAGCCCUGGGCUCAACCUGGGAAUUGCAUUCGAUACUGCUUAGCUAGAGUAUGAGAGAGGGUAGUGGAAUUCCGGGUGUAGCGGUGAAAUGCGUAGAUAUCCGGAGGAACAUCAGUGGCGAAGGCGGCUUUCUGGACCAAUACUGACGCUGAGAUGCGAAAGCGUGGGGAGCGAACAGGAUUAGAUA
rnacentral:rRNA from 1 species